AGGUACUGUUAGUGAUGACCAAUAACGUUAAACAGAUGGGAAUCUCUCUGAAUAAGACUGAAGAUUGAUUGUUCAGCUGAAACAGUAUUUAAGAACAUCAGCAAAUACAGUUUAUAAAUACAUAUUUCUAAAUGGAGUGUAAUUUCUGCAGGUAUUACACAUGGAUCCCCUCAGUUGAAGGCACUGAUGGGUCUUUCUGAAUUUCUGGUCCUUCUGAAUUUCAAGGGCUCCUGUGACAAGUAGACAUGGCAGUGACUUCACCAUUUUGUUUCUGAGGUAAGAACUGAAAAUGUUUAACCAUGAACCUAUUCCAGGAUACAUGAUGAUCUCACCCCAACUUGAACUCUCUCACUGAUUACUUGAUGACAGUAAAAGAUCUGAUGUUCUGUGUUUUAAGUUACCAUUUAAGUUAAAAAUUGUAAAAGUGUGUCUAACAGCUACCUUCUGUUGCAGGUGCCUGGAUGGAGACUCAAAUAGAAGAUGGUGUCAGAUACAUUGUGUUGUCAAGAUUUUACCAUUAAAGUGUGUUAUAAACA
ensembl:processed_transcript